rnacentral:rRNA from 1 species
CAGCCGCCGCGGGAAUACGUAGGGUGCAAGCGUUAAUCGGAAUUACUGGGCGUAAAGCGUGCGCAGGCGGUUAUAUAAGUCAGAUGUGAAAUCCCCGGGCUCAACCUGGGAACUGCAUUUGAGACUGUAUGGCUAGAGUGUGUCAGAGGGGGGUAGAAUUCCACGUGUAGCAGUGAAAUGCGUAGAUAUGUGGAGGAAUACCGAUGGCGAAGGCAGCCCCCUGGGAUAACACUGACGCUCAUGCACGAAAGCGUGGGGAGCAAACAGGAUUAGAUACCCCCGUAGUCCCUGUCUCUUAUAC